rnacentral:rRNA from 1 species
GAGUUUGAUCUUGGCUCAGAUUGGACGCUGGCGGCAGGCCUAACACAUGCAAGUCGAGCGGUAGAGAGAAGCUUGCUUCUCUUGAGAGCGGCGGACGGGUGAGUAAUGCCUAGGAAUCUGCCUGGUAGUGGGGGAUAACGCUCGGAAACGGACGCUAAUACCGCAUACGUCCUACGGGAGAAAGCAGGGGACCUUCGGGCCUUGCGCUAUCAGAUGAGCCUAGGUCGGAUUAGCUAGUUGGUGAGGUAAUGGCUCACCAAGGCGACGAUCCGUAACUGGUCUGAGAGGAUGAUCAGUCACACUGGAACUGAGACACGGUCCAGACUCCUACGGGAGGCAGCAGUGGGGAAUAUUGGACAAUGGGCGAAAGACCUGAUCCAGCCAUGCCGCGUGUGUGAAGAAGGUCUUCGGAUUGUAAAGCACUUUAAGUUGGGUAGGAAGGGCGAGUAAAUUAAUAACUUUGCUGUUUUGACGUUACGUACAGAAUAAGACACCGGCUAACUACUGUGCCAGCCGCC